GACGAACGCUGGCGGCGUGCUUAACACAUGCUAGUCGAACGGUAAGGCCCUUCGGGGUACACGAGUGGCGAACGGGUGAGUAACACGUGGGUGAUCUGCCCUGCACUUCGGGAUAAGCCUGGGAAACUGGGUCUAAUACCGGAUAGGACCACUGCCUGCCUGGGGGGUGGUGGAAAGCCUUUGCGGUGUGGGAUGGGCCCGCGGCCUAUCAGCUUGUUGGUGGGGUGAUGGCCUACCAAGGCGACGACGGGUAGCCGGCCUGGGAGGGUGACCGGCCACACUGGGACUGAGAUACGGCCCAGACUCCUACGGGAGGCAGCAGUGGGGAAUAUUGCACAAUGGGCGCAAGCCUGAUGCAGCGACGCCGCGUGAGGGAUGACGGCCUUCGGGUUGUAAACCUCUUUCAGCACCGACGAAGCGCAAGUGACGGUAGGUGCAGAAGAAGGACCGGCCAACUACGUGCCAGCAGCCGCCGUAA
rnacentral:rRNA from 1 species